CAAUAGCGUAUAUUUAAGUUGUUGCAGUUAAAAAGCUCGUAGUUGGAUUUCGGGUGGGACGCAGCGGUCUCGCAUUGCGUUUGUACUGCUGCAGCCCUCCUUCUUGCCGGGGGCGGCCUGUCGGACUUCACUGUCUGCGGGUCAGAAUCGGCGAUGUUACUUUGAGUAAAUUAGAGUGUUCAAAGCAAGCUUACGCUCUGAAUAUAAUAGCAUGGGAUAACACGACAGGACUCUGGCCUAUCGUGUUGGUCUAUAGGACCAGAGUAAUGAUUAAGAGGGACAGUCGGGGGCAUUCGUAUUCCGUUGUCAGAGGUGAAAUUCUUGGAUUUACGGAAGACGAGCAUCUGCGAAAGCAUUUGCCAAGGAUGUUUUCAUUGA
rnacentral:rRNA from 1 species